AACGAACGCUGGCGGCAGGCUUAACACAUGCAAGUCGAACGGGUGUAGCAAUACAUCAGUGGCAGACGGGUGAGUAACACGUGGGAACCUUCCUAGGGGUACGGAACAACUCAGGGAAACUUGAGCUAAUACCGUAUACGUCCGUGAGGAGGAAGAUUUAUCGCCCUUAGACGGGCCCGCGUCGGAUUAGCUAGUUGGUGGGGUAACGGCCUACCAAGGCGACGAUCCGUAGCUGAUCUUAGAGGAUGAUCAGCCACACUGGGACUGAGACACGGCCCAGGCUCCUACGGGAGGCAGCAGUGGGGAAUCUUGGACAAUGGGCGCAAGCCUGAUCCAGCCAUGCCGCGUGAGUGAAGAAGGUCUUCGGGUUGUAAAGCUCUUUUGCCAGGGACGAUAAUGACGGUACCUGGAGAAUAAGCCCCGGCAAACUUCGUGCCAGCAGCCGCCGUAACAC
rnacentral:rRNA from 1 species